GAGUCUAGCAUGUGCGCGAGUCAUUGGGACUGCGCGAAGCCUAAAGGCGAAAUGAAAGUGAAGGUCAGCCUAGCGCUGACCGAGGGAGGAUGGGUCCGGAAAAAGACGGACCCCGCACUCCCGGGGCGUCCCGUUCUCACUGCGAGAAGGGGCGCACCCAGAGCGUACACGCUGGGACCCGAAAGAUGGUGAACUAUGCCUGGUCAGGACGAAGUCAGGGGAAACCCUGAUGGAGGUCCGUAGCGAUUCUGACGUGCAAAUCGAUCGUCGGAACUGGGUAUAGGGGCGAAAGACUAAUCGAACCAUCUAGUAGCUGGUUCCCUCCGAAGUUUCCCUCAGGAUAGCUGGCGCUCGCCGUUGGCGAGUCUCAUCCGGUAAAGCGAAUGAUUAGAGGCAUUGGGGUCGAAACGGCCUCAACCUAUUCUCAAACUUUAAAUGGGUGAGAUCUCCGGCUUGCUUGAACGUGAAGCCGCGAGAUUUCGGAUCAGAGUGCCAAGUGGGCCACUUUUGGUAAGCAGAACUGGCGCUGUGGGAUGAACCAAACGCAGAGUUAAAGCGCCAAAAUCGACGCUUAUGGGAUACCAUGAAAGGCGUUGGUAACUUAAGACAGCAGGACGGUGGCCAUGGAAGUCGG
rnacentral:rRNA from 1 species